GGGCCCAUAGCUCAGGGGUUAGAGCAUCGGACUCAUAAUCCGCAGGUCGUAGGUUCAAAUCCUACUGGGCCCACCC
rnacentral:tRNA from 1 species